rnacentral:snRNA from 1 species
AGCUUGCACAAUGGCAAGUAUCAUAGCCAAUGAGGUUUAUCUUAGGCACGACUAUUGCUAAUUGAAACUUUCCCAAUACCCCACUGUGAUGACUUGUAACAUAGUCAGCAUUGACAAUUUUGACAGUCUUUACGAAGA